GCUGACGAGUGGCGGACGGGUGAGUAAUGUCUGGGAAACUGCCUGAUGGAGGGGGAUAACUACUGGAAACGGUAGCUAAUACCGCAUAACGUCGCAAGACCAAAGAGGGGGACCUUCGGGCCUCUUGCCAUCGGAUGUGCCCAGAUGGGAUUAGCUUGUUGGUGGGGUAACGGCUCACCAAGGCGACGAUCCCUAGCUGGUCUGAGAGGAUGACCAGCCACACUGGAACUGAGACACGGUCCAGACUCCUACGGGAGGCAGCAGUGGGGAAUAUUGCACAAUGGGCGCAAGCCUGAUGCAGCCAUGCCGCGUGUAUGAAGAAGGCCUUCGGGUUGUAAAGUACUUUCAGCGGGGAGGAAGGGAGUAAAGUUAAUACCUUUACUCAUUGACGUUACCCGCAGAAGAAGCACCGGCUAACUCCGUGCCAGCAGCCGCGGUAAUACGGAGGGUGCAAGCGUUAAUCGGAAUUACUGGGCGUAAAGCGCACGCAGGCGGUUUGUUAAGUCAGAUGUGAAAUCCCCGGGCUCAACCUGGGAACUGCAUCUGAUACUGGCAAGCUUGAGUCUCGUAGAGGGGGGUAGAAUUCCAGGUGUAGCGGUGAAAUGCGUAGAGAUCUGGAGGAAUACCGGUGGCGAAGGCGGCCCCCUGGACGAAGACUGACGCUCAGGUGCGAAAGCGUGGGGAGCAAACAGGAUUAGAUACCCUGGUAGUCCACGCCGUAAACGAUGUCGACUUGGAGGUUGUGCCCUUGAGGCGUGGCUUCCGGAGCUAACGCGUUAAGUCGACCGCCUGGGGAGUACGGCCGCAAGGUUAAAACUCAAAUGAAUUGACGGGGGCCCGCACAAGCGGUGGAGCAUGUGGUUUAAUUCGAUGCAACGCGAAGAACCUUACCUGGUCUUGACAUCCACGGAAGUUUUCAGAGAUGAGAAUGUGCCUUCGGGAACCGUGAGACAGGUGCUGCAUGGCUGUCGUCAGCUCGUGUUGUGAAAUGUUGGGUUAAGUCCCGCAACGAGCGCAACCCUUAUCCUUUGUUGCCAGCGGUCCGGCCGGGAACUCAAAGGAGACUGCCAGUGAUAAACUGGAGGAAGGUGGGGAUGACGUCAAGUCAUCAUGGCCCUUACGACCAGGGCUACACACGUGCUACAAUGGCGCAUACAAAGAGAAGCGACCUCGCGAGAGCAAGCGGACCUCAUAAAGUGCGUCGUAGUCCGGAUUGGAGUCUGCAACUCGACUCCAUGAAGUCGGAAUCGCUAGUAAUCGUGGAUCAGAAUGCCACGGUGAAUACGUUCCCGGGCCUUGUACACACCGCCCGUCACACCAUGGGAGUGGGUUGCAAAAGAAGUAGGUAGCUUAACCUUCGGGAGGGCGCUUACCACUUUGUGAUUCAUGACUGGGGUGAAGUCGUAACAAGGUAACCGUAGGGGAACCUGCGGUUGGAUCACCUCCUUACCUUAAAGAA
rnacentral:rRNA from 1 species